GCGGGUGUAGCUCAAUGGUAGAGUUCUGGCCUUCCAAGCCAGCUGUGAGGGUUCGAUCCCCUUCCACCUGUUCC
rnacentral:tRNA from 1 species